rnacentral:rRNA from 1 species
UACAGAGGUCUCAAGCGUUGUUCGGAUUCAUUGGGCGUAAAGGGUGCGUAGGCGGCGCGGUAAGUCGGGUGUGAAAUCUCGGAGCUUAACUACGAAACUGCAUUCGAUACUGCCGUGCUUGAGGACUGGAGAGGAGACUGGAAUUUACGGUGUAGCGGUGAAAUGCGUAGAUAUCGUAAGGAAGACCAGUGGCGAAGGCGGGUCUCUGGACAGUUCCUGACGCUGAGGCACGAAGGUCAGGGGAGCAAACGGG